rnacentral:tRNA from 2 species
UCGGGAUAGCUCAGCUGGUAGAGCAGAGGACUGAAAAUCCUCGUGU